GAUGAACGCUGGCGGCGUGCCUAAUACAUGCAAGUCGAGCGAACGGACGAGAAGCUUGCUUCUCUGAUGUUAGCGGCGGACGGGUGAGUAACACGUGGAUAACCUACCUAUAAGACUGGGAUAACUUCGGGAAACCGGAGCUAAUACCGGAUAAUAUUUUGAACCGCAUGGUUCAAAAGUGAAAGACGGUCUUGCUGUCACUUAUAGAUGGAUCCGCGCUGCAUUAGCUAGUUGGUAAGGUAACGGCUUACCAAGGCAACGAUGCAUAGCCGACCUGAGAGGGUGAUCGGCCACACUGGAACUGAGACACGGUCCAGACUCCUACGGGAGGCAGCAGUAGGGAAUCUUCCGCAAUGGGCGAAAGCCUGACGGAGCAACGCCGCGUGAGUGAUGAAGGUCUUCGGAUCGUAAAACUCUGUUAUUAGGGAAGAACAUAUGUGUAAGUAACUGUGCACAUCUUGACGGUACCUAAUCAGAAAGCCACGGCUAACUACGUGCCAGCAGCCGCGGUAAUACGUAGGUGGCAAGCGUUAUCCGGAAUUAUUGGGCGUAAAGCGCGCGUAGGCGGUUUUUUAAGUCUGAUGUGAAAGCCCACGGCUCAACCGUGGAGGGUCAUUGGAAACUGGAAAACUUGAGUGCAGAAGAGGAAAGUGGAAUUCCAUGUGUAGCGGUGAAAUGCGCAGAGAUAUGGAGGAACACCAGUGGCGAAGGCGACUUUCUGGUCUGUAACUGACGCUGAUGUGCGAAAGCGUGGGGAUCAAACAGGAUUAGAUACCCUGGUAGUCCACGCCGUAAACGAUGAGUGCUAAGUGUUAGGGGGUUUCCGCCCCUUAGUGCUGCAGCUAACGCAUUAAGCACUCCGCCUGGGGAGUACGACCGCAAGGUUGAAACUCAAAGGAAUUGACGGGGACCCGCACAAGCGGUGGAGCAUGUGGUUUAAUUCGAAGCAACGCGAAGAACCUUACCAAAUCUUGACAUCCUUUGACAACUCUAGAGAUAGAGCUUUCCCCUUCGGGGGACAAAGUGACAGGUGGUGCAUGGUUGUCGUCAGCUCGUGUCGUGAGAUGCUGGGUUAAGUCCCGCAACGAGCGCAACCCUUAAGCUUAGUUGCCAUCAUUAAGUUGGGCACUCUAAGUUGACUGCCGGUGACAAACCGGAGGAAGGUGGGGAUGACGUCAAAUCAUCAUGCCCCUUAUGAUUUGGGCUACACACGUGCUACAAUGGACAAUACAAAGGGCAGCGAAACCGUGAGGUCAAGCAAAUCCCAUAAAGUUGUUCUCAGUUCGGAUUGUAGUCUGCAACUCGACUACAUGAAGCUGGAAUCGCUAGUAAUCGUAGAUCAGCAUGCUACGGUGAAUACGUUCCCGGGUCU
rnacentral:rRNA from 1 species